UACGUAGGGUCCGAGCGUUGUCCGGAAUUAUUGGGCGUAAAGGGCUCGUAGGCGGUUAGUCGCGUCGGGAGUGAAAACUCAGGGGCUCAACCCUGAGCGUGCUUCCGAUACGGGCUGACUAGAGGUAUGCAGGGGAGAACGGAAUUCCUGGUGUAGCGGUGGAAUGCGCAGAUAUCAGGAGGAACACCGGUGGCGAAGGCGGUUCUCUGGGCAUUACCUGACGCUGAGGAGCGAAAGCAUGGGGAGCGAACAGG
rnacentral:rRNA from 1 species